AACAACUUACCAAGAUUCUGUUACACCGGAACAACAUGAGCAAAAAACGAAAAGGCAAAUAUUUUCUGUAUUUUUUAUUACUCAUGUUUAGUUUUAGCACCUGUAAAUGCGGAUGGACAGAAGAUGGGGGAUAUAUUGGACUCUAUCCUGGUGGAUGCACCGUAAAAAGUGACUGCCCGAUGGAAGAAAGGUGCAUGCAUUCAGUAGAAGAAACAAUUUGUCCCAAUGAUCAUCAAAAUCUAUGCAGGUGUACUUUAGGUUGUGAGAUUGAUAAUCUGAUUGUUCGUUAUGAGCAGUGGAGACCCAUUCCAGGAAAGGGAUUCUGCAAGUGUAUCAAUUCUUUUACAAAUGAAGUAAGUAUACAUCAAUUUUAGUAUAUGGAAUAAGUGGCUGAAAAAAAAUAAUUUUCAUGUUCCCCCAUGAGGAG